rnacentral:rRNA from 1 species
GAUCAUGGCUCAGGAUGAACGCUAGCUACAGGCUUAACACAUGCAAGUCGAGGGGCAGCAUGGUCUUAGCUUGCUAAGACUGAUGGCGACCGGCGCACGGGUGAGUAACACGUAUCCAACCUGGCCGUCUACUCUUGGACAGCCUUACUGAAAAGGAAAGAUUAAUACAAGAUGGCAUCAUGAGUCCGACAUGUUCACAUGAUUAAAGGUAUUCCGGUAGACGAUGGGG